AGAAUCACCACAAAUUGAGAUGAGGCAUUCAAGCGGGCUGGACACACUGACACUCGAGCAGUAGGAUCCCUUGAACUGAAGAAAUGAAUAGGAAGAUACAUGCAAUUUAAGAAGAACAUUCAUCAUUAGUACUUGAAGAGACUUGCCUGGUUGGGGCAGAACAGGAUCUGCUAUAGUGCAUGUUACUUGACUGCUCACUGUACGACUUCAAUAAAAUCAAGGUCUUUUCCUGAUGCAAGAAAAUGUUUUCUUGCUGCAAUGGCUAAAUCUACCACACGGGUCGUUAGCUCUGUUACCGUAACAUUGCACCAUCCUAACACGCGAGGAAAAUAAUUUCACAAGAUUCUCAUAUUAAGUAUCUAUUCAAAGAGGUAUAUGACAAUGUGCGGGAAGGAGAAAUUCACUCGGUAACAACACCGAUGCUACGGCUUGCAUGCUGAGAGUUGAGACCUGGUGAGCUUACUCGUACUAUUGUGUGAUGUGUUAACUUACUUUUGUAGUUUCUAUAUGCCAACAUAUAUCAUGCUGUUUUAUAGUUAGUAGUAUUUCAACAUAAUUUUUCUAUUCAUGCAUUGAAGCAAAACUGCAGUUAGUUGCUACAGAGCUAGGAGAUCUUGGUGUAUAAUAAAAUAUAUUAAUAUGGAGGGGUUCCUUUGUCACCUGAUUUGAUAAGGUAUAUAGUACGGAAGUUUUUUUAUUUCAUAAUCAUAUUCUUGAUGUACUGUUUAACGUAUUUUCUUUUCAGAGAUUUGCCCUUCAAAUUUUCUUGUGAUAGCUAAUUGCCUUUCUGUAAAACUCUUUGUGCGGAUUAGUUGAUAUGAUAAAUGGUCA